UACGUAGGGGGCAAGCGUUGUCCGGAUUUAUUGGGCGUAAAGAGCUCGUAGGUGGUUUGGUAAGUCGGAUGUGAAAUCUCCAGGCUCAACCUGGAGGGGUCAUUCGAUACUGCCAUGACUAGAGUUCGGUAGGGGAGUGUGGAAUUCCUGGUGGAGCGGUGAAAUGCGCAGAUAUCAGGAGGAACACCCGUAGCGAAGGCGGCACUCUGGGCCGAUACUGACACUGAGGAGCGAAAGCGUGGGGAGCGAACAGG
rnacentral:rRNA from 1 species